rnacentral:rRNA from 1 species
AGCGAACGCUGGCGGCAUGCUUAACACAUGCAAGUCGCACGGGCGGGGGCAACUCCGUCAGUGGCGGACGGGUGAGUAACGCGUAGGAAUCUAUCCUUGAAUGGGGGACAACCGUGGGAAACUACGGCUAAUACCGCAUGAUGCCUGAGGGCCAAAGACGAAAGUCGUUUGAGGAGGAGCCUGCGUCUGAUUAGGUAGUUGGUGGGGUAAAGGCCUACCAAGCCCUACGAUCAGUAGCUGGUCUGAGAGGAUGAUCAGCCACAUUGGGACUGAGACACGGCCCAAACUCCUACGGGAGGCAGCAGUGGGGAAUAUUGGACAAUGGGCGCAAGCCUGAUCCAGCAAUGCCGCGUGGGUGAAGAAGGUCUUCGGAUUGUAAAGCCCUUUUGGCGGGGACGAUGAUGACGGUACCCGCAGAGUAAGCUCCGGCUAACUUCGUG